UACGAGGGGGGCAAGUGUUGUUCGGAAUCACUGGGCGUAAAGGGAGCGUAGGCGGGCUCUUAAGUUGGAUGUUUAAAACCGGGGCCCAACCCCGGCGUGGCAUCCAAAACUGGGAGUCUUGAAUGGAACAGAGGCUAGUGGAAUUGGAGGUGUAGCGGUGGAAUGCGUAGAGAUCUCCAAGAACACCCGUUGCGAAGGCGGCUAGCUGGGCUCACAUUGACGCUGAGGCUCGAAAGCGUGGGGAGCAAACAGG
rnacentral:rRNA from 1 species